AAUUAUUUGCUCUUUAGAUAUUUCUCUAGAAGGUUUCCUGUAAAGGGAAGCCCGC
rnacentral:snRNA from 1 species